rnacentral:rRNA from 1 species
UACGGAGGAUGCGAGCGUUAUCCGGAUUUAUUGGGUUUAAAGGGUGCGUAGGCGGCUUAGUAAGUCAGCGGUGAAAUUUUGCAGCUUAACUGUAACAGUGCCGUUGAUACUGCCAGGCUAGGAUUUGGUUGCUGUGGGUGGAAUGUGUGGUGUAGCGGUGAAAUGCUUAGAUAUCACACAGAAUAUCGAUUGCGAAGGCAGCUCACAAAGCCAAGAUUGACGCUGAGGCACGAAAGUGUGGGGAGUCAAACA